CAGGCCUAACACAUGCAAGUCGAGCGUUUGGGGUGUUCCCUUACGGGAAACCCCCUGGAGCGGCGGACGGGUGAGUAACACGUAGGCAACCUGCCUGUAAGAUCGGGAUAACUACCGGAAACGGUAGCUAAGACCGGAUAGCUGGUUUCUCCGCAUGGGGGAAUCAUGAAACACGGGGCAACCUGUGGCUUACGGAUGGGCCUGCGGCGCAUUAGCUAGUUGGUGGGGUAAUGGCCCACCAAGGCGACGAUGCGUAGCCGACCUGAGAGGGUGAUCGGCCACACUGGGACUGAGACACGGCCCAGACUCCUACGGGAGGCAGCAGUAGGGAAUCUUCCGCAAUGGGCGCAAGCCUGACGGAGCAACGCCGCGUGAGUGAUGAAGGUUUUCGGAUCGUAAAGCUCUGUUGCCAAGGAAGAACGCCUCGGAGAGUAACUGCUCUGAGGGUGACGGUACUUGAGAAGAAAGCCCCGGCUAACUACGUGCCAGCAGCCGCGGUAAUACGUAGGGGGCAAGCGUUGUCCGGAAUUAUUGGGCGUAAAGCGCGCGCAGGCGGUCUUUUAAGUUUGGUGUUUAAGCCCGGGGCUCAACCCCGGUUCGCACUGAAAACUGGGAGACUUGAGUGCAGGAGAGGAAAGCGGAAUUCCACGUGUAGCGGUGAAAUGCGUAGAGAUGUGGAGGAACACCAGUGGCGAAGGCGGCUUUCUGGACUGUAACUGACGCUGAGGCGCGAAAGCGUGGGGAGCAAAC
rnacentral:rRNA from 1 species